AGGAUGCGAGCGUUAUCCGGAUUUAUUGGGUUAAAGGUGCGUAGUGGUUAAUUAAGUCAGCGGUGAAAGUUUGUGGCUCAACCAUAAAAUUGCCGUUGAAACUGGUUGACUUGAGUAUAUUUGAGGUAGGCGGAAUGCGUGGUGUAGCGGUGAAAUGCAUAGAUAUCACGCAGAACUCCGAUUGCGAAGGCAGCUUACUAAACUAUAACUGACACUGAAGCACGAAAGCGUGGGAUCAAACAGG
rnacentral:rRNA from 1 species